CAAAGGUUGAGCUGGCUUGUGUGCAUUUCAAAUGCUGGUCUAAUUUGUAUCUAUAGGACAACAAGGAUUAAAUGGAGAUAAUCCCUUUACAAUGGUGUAAUUGGUACAGGGCUAGCAAGCUGGAUCAGCUAGAACAUAUAGCUGGACACUGAGAGAGGAGCAGGAUCUGUUCUGUUUAGGCUCACCCCACACUGUGGGGCCCCACCUGACAUUUGUCCCAAUGCCUUGGUUGUCAGGUGAUGCUACUGCAAGGCUGUGGAUCAUUGCAUGAACCAAGCAACGACUGAGUGUAGCCUCAGGAUGGGGAGGUGAGGACAUUGUGCAUCUCUGUGAGACUGCUUGGUGCAGGAUCUCCCAAUCAUGCAUGACAGAAAUGGAAAGCUGUCACUUGAUAGCUGCCUGGAGGAACAGGUCUUACUGAUCCAACUGACCGUGAAGCUGAAGAGGUUAAAAAUUAGCCCAGCAAUAAUAUAUGGGACUGUUUG